rnacentral:rRNA from 1 species
UACAGAGACUGCAAGCGUUGUUCGGAUUCAUUGGGCGUAAAGGGUGCGUAGGUGGCGCGAUAAGUCGGGUGUGAAAUCUCGGAGCUUAACUCCGAAAUUGCAUUCGAUACUGCCGUGCUCGAGGACUGGAGAGGAGACUGGAAUUCAUGGUGUAGCAGUGAAAUGCGUAGAGAUCAUGAGGAAGACCAGUGGCGAAGGCGGGUCUCUGGACAGUUCCUGACACUGAGGCACGAAGGCCAGGGGAGCAAACGGG